rnacentral:ncRNA from 1 species
AGGGUGGCAUCAUCACGAGCCACACCUAACAAGUUAAGUUUAUGAAUUUAAUAGUAUGUGUCUUACCCCGCUUAGAGCCCAAAGGGACUGAGACGGAAGG